UACGGAGGAUGCAAGCGUUAUCCGGAUUCAUUGGGUUUAAAGGGUGCGUAGGCGGGCUAUUAAGUCAGUGGUGAAAUCCUGCUGCUUAACUGCAGAACUGCCGUUGAUACUGAUAGUCUUGAGUUUGGUUAAGGUAGGCGGAAUGUGUAAUGUAGCGGUGAAAUGCUUAGAUAUUACACAGAACACCAAUUGCGUAGGCAGCUUACUGAGCCGACACUGAUGCUGAGGCACGAAAGCGUGGGGAUCGAACA
rnacentral:rRNA from 1 species